rnacentral:rRNA from 1 species
AUGAACGCUGGCGGCGUGCCUAAUACAUGCAAGUCGAGCGAACAGACGAGGAGCUUGCUCCUCUGACGUUAGCGGCGGACGGGUGAGUAACACGUGGAUAACCUACCUAUAAGACUGGGAUAACUUCGGGAAACCGGAGCUAAUACCGGAUAAUAUAUUGAACCGCAUGGUUCAAUAGUGAAAGACGGUUUUGCUGUCACUUAUAGAUGGAUCCGCGCCGCAUUAGCUAGUUGGUAAGGUAACGGCUUACCAAGGCAACGAUGCGUAGCCGACCUGAGAGGGUGAUCGGCCACACUGGAACUGAGCCACGGUCCAGACUCCUACGGGAGGCAGCAGUAGGGAAUCUUCCGCAAAGGGCGAAAGCCUGACGGAGCAACGCCGCGUGAGUGAUGAAGGUCUUCGGAUCGUAAAACUCUGUUAUUAGGGAAGAACAAAUGUGUAAGUAACUAUGCACGUCUUGACGGUACCUAAUCAGAAAGCCACGGCUAACUACGUG